UAUUGGUAUUAUCAUGGAAGUAUUAUAUUGACAGAAACUCCAACAAGCGGACUUCAAACGGUUAUAGUGCGAUGCCGCAAAAUCGUUAAGUAUCUGUUAAUUAACUCGACAUGUCUUAUGGAUGCAUGGGUUCCGAUCAAAUUUUUGGAACCUCGUGAAUGAUCGUAAUUACGGAACAUACCGAAAUAACCGGAUGUGUACUUAAUUGUCAAGGGAAUGACAUUUACCGACCAUGUGAAUGACAAAUAUGUCAGUUUUUACGGGUUUUGCUGCUUAAAAACAAAUCAAAAGAAAAGAAACGAAAUCCCCGCGACUGUUUUCACCAAAUAAUAAAAAAAAAAAUAAAAAAUAAAUAAAGAGUAAAAUACUCACAAGCCAUAAACAUUUUUAGUUUAAGUUGCAAUCAAUUUUAAAAUAGUAACGGAUUGUUAUUCAUGAGAGAGCCGUUGGCUAAACACGCAUAACUGUUAUAUACAUAUAUGCGUGUUAGGCUUGAAAAUCAUAAAAUUCUCAUGUAAAGUAAAC
rnacentral:lncRNA from 1 species